AUCAAUUAAAAGAAAAUGAAAAGAAAAAUUUUAAAAAAGAAAAAAAAGGAAAAAAAUUGAAUCGGGUUCUCCGUCGUCUCCGUCGUCGUCGUCCGGCUGAAGCUUCCUGUCAUCGGAUUCCGCUAGAAUCAGGUCAGUUUUUCUUGGAUAUUCUUGCUCUUUUCAUUAUGUGUUCAUUCGUCUGUGCUGCAUUGCCCAACUUAUUAAGAAUCAAGGUAAUUGCAGAUUCAGUAUUUCAAUUGGAAUUCAAUUUCAAUUGAGAUUCAAUUCAUAAAAGUGAAUUAUCAUAAUAAUAGUAAAUUUCUUGUCAUUAUUUAAGGGGACUUCUUGUAUAAGAGAACCAUAGUUUCAUAAUAAUGUAAAAGAUUUGUGGGAUAGAGAUUAUAGUAUAUUGAAACUGAAUCGGAGCUGGAUAAUGUUUUGGGUAUAACUGGUAUAACUUGGUAAUUUUAGAAUCUUACAAAUGGUAUAACUUGGCAAUUAUAAUUCGGUACAACUGAUAUAACUUGAUAACUAUAAUUUGGUGUAACUGGUAUAACUUGGUUAUACCAAUUUGAUACAUCUGGUAUAUCUGGGACAACUGGUAUAACUUGGUAACUAAUGUUGUUGUUUUUGUUUGUUUUCAGGGCAGAAUGAAUAUGAGUCAGCUCACAGUCAUAGAUUUUGACUAUGGAGGAUACUAUUCAGGCAGCAGCACAGGCAUACAAUAUGCUAUCUUGCUCAUGUUGAUGGCUUAAAUAUUGGGUGAUCCUGGAAGCAGCGGCUGUCUUGCUCAGACUACUUGGUAUAAGUAUGUGUAUCUCUUUUGGAUAAUAAUGUAAUACUGGGUUUUGCUUUGUAAUACUAGUAUAUUUUUGACUGCUGCGGUAUAACUAAUAAUAAUGGUAUAACC
rnacentral:lncRNA from 1 species